rnacentral:rRNA from 1 species
AACGCUGGCGGCAUGCCUUACACAUGCAAGUCGAACGGCAGCACGGGAGCAAUCCUGGUGGCGAGUGGCGAACGGGUGAGUAAUAUAUCGGAACGUGCCCAGUCGUGGGGGAUAACGUAGCGAAAGCUACGCUAAUACCGCAUACGAUCUAUGGAUGAAAGCGGGGGAUCGCAAGACCUCGCGCGAUUGGAGCGGCCGAUAUCAGAUUAGGUAGUUGGUGAGGUAAAGGCUCACCAAGCCGACGAUCUGUAGCUGGUCUGAGAGGACGACCAGCCACACUGGGACUGAGACACGGCCCAGACUCCUACGGGAGGCAGCAGUGGGAAUUUUGGACAAUGGGCGCAAGCCUGAUCCAGCAAUGCCGCGUGCAGGAUGAAGGCCUUCGGGUUGUAAACUGCUUUUGUACGGAACGAAACGGUGAGCUCUAAUACAGUUUGCUAAUGACGGUACCGUAAGAAUAAGCACCGGCUAACUACGUG